GACGAACGCUGGCGGCGUGCCUAAUACAUGCAAGUUGAGCGAUGAAGAUUGGUGCUUGCCCCAAUUUGAAGAGCAGCGAACGGGUGAGUAACGCGUGGGGAAUCUGCCUUUGAGCGGGGGACAACAUUUGGAAACGAAUGCUAAUACUGCAUAACAACUUUAAACAUAAGUUUUAAGUUUGAAAGAUGCAAUUGCAUCACUCAAAGAUGAUCCCGCGUUGUAUUAGCUAGUUGGUGAGGUAAAGGCUCACCAAGGCGAUGAUACAUAGCCGACCUGAGAGGGUGAUCGGCCACAUUGGGACUGAGACACGGCCCAAACUCCUACGGGAGGCAGCAGUAGGGAAUCUUCGGCAAUGGACGAAAGUCUGACCGAGCAACGCCGCGUGAGUGAAGAAGGUUGUCGGAUCGUAAAACUCUGUUGGUAGAGAAGAACGUUGGUGAGAGUGGAAAGCUCAUCAAGUGACGGUAACUACCCAGAAAGGGACGGCUAACUACGUG
rnacentral:rRNA from 1 species